UGAGUGUCAUGAAAUUCUCAACCUUUUCAGCUUUUUGUUGAAUAGGCUUGGAUUUUGGGAGUUGUUGCAGGCUGCUCAGAAGUCUGCUCUCCUUAAAUGUAUUAGCGGGGCCCUUGUUGUCUAGCAUUUGGUGUGAUAAUUACCUACGCCAUUGUGAACAAUGUAAUAGGUCGGCUUCUAAUCGUCUCGUAAAGAGACAUCUCUGACAUUUUGACCUCAAAUCAGGUAGGACUACCCGCUGACUUAA
rnacentral:misc_RNA from 1 species